AACGAACGCUGGCGGCAUGCCUAACACAUGCAAGUCGAACGAUGCUUUCGGGCAUAGUGGCGCACGGGUGCGUAACGCGUGGGAAUCUGCCCUUGGGUUCGGAAUAACAGUGAGAAAUUGCUGCUAAUACCGGAUGAUGUCUUCGGACCAAAGAUUUAUCGCCCAGGGAUGAGCCCGCUUAGGAUUAGCUAGUUGGUGGGGUAAUGGCCUACCAAGGCGACGAUCCUUAGCUGGUCUGAGAGGAUGAUCAGCCACACUGGGACUGAGACACGGCCCAGACACAGACGGGAGGCAGCAGUGGGGAAUAUUGGACAAUGGACGCAAGCCUGAUCCAGCAAUGCCGCGUGAGUGAUGAAGGCCUUAGGGUUGUAAAGCUCUUUUAACAGGGAUGAUAAUGAAAGUACCGGGAGAAUAAGCUAAGGCUAACUCCGUG
rnacentral:rRNA from 1 species